rnacentral:misc_RNA from 1 species
CGUCACGUGUGCGUGACAGCGGCCGACGUGUCCGGACUCGUUCGCGUUCUCGGCCGAUACUCCCCGACACGGCGGAUGCGUCGAUUCCGCCUUUCAUCGAGCGGCCUCGCAAAAACUGAAAGGAAAGCGGAAAACCUCGACUGCGGCGUCGGAAUUAAACCGAAGCUCGACGCCGGGCCCGGAAGAGAAAAUACGAGUCGCUCCCGAUGGACGGACCGGGGACGAUAACGUGGGAGGAGUUCCUCGCCGACGCCGAGGAUUUGGUCCGGCUCUCGGACGAGAUUUCGGACCGGUGGGAACUUCGGGGCGAUAAGACUCUACCGGGCCGUGCGUACUUGGCCCGACGAACGAAGACCUUCGUUUCCAGCGAUUUUCUCGUUGACGAACGAGCGGACGAAUUCGAGUCGAUUGUGCCGGAGCCAACGAGUGAUCCCUUCGAGGCGACAUCCGUCGUCCAGAGACCGCUCGUCACGGAACAUCACGUUCUAUGGUCCAUGAGCUACGGCGUUCCGCUGCUCUAUUUCAAUGCUUGGAAGUCUGACUUUGCAGGAGUCAAUCCGGUGAGCGUGGAAGCGGCUCAAAAGCUGGUACCUCAAGGAUCUCUGGGAUACGGAGAAUUGUCUCAAGCCAUGCACCCGAUCCAGGAUCAGCCCUUCAUGUAUUUACAUCCAUGCAGGACUCGAGAACUCCUGCAGAUAACGCACAAGAGCAAGAACAAAUUGGUCAGUUGGCUCAGCGCGAUAGCUCCAGCGGCCCUUUAUUUAAAAACCAGGCCGGAAUACUACGAGUUGACUUUAGGCCAAGGACGGAGGCAGAGCGCAGCCGGUCACGAGGACAGCGGGAACAGUGAUAAAGACGACGAAGACAGCGAUAAAAAAGAUCGCUGCGAGUUUCACCAUCGGGAAGACACGCGUCGAUGAUAAGGUCGAUACACGCGCGUCGAGAGCGCGCAAGGUUUUCGCCUUUACUUCGGCCACUUUGCCCUCGAAGUCUAUGUCGUCAUCGCCGAAACCUUGAGAAAAUCCCCUCUCCCGGUCGGGAGGAUUUGGGACAUUCAUCUGGAAUAUUGAUGAGAAGGCAGCUCGUUUUUCGGGAACGUUGCUAAUCGGCUGGUUAAAUCUAUGCAAAUGUUUAAACCGUUCCUCGCGGUCUCGACGUGACGAAAUACGGUUACAUUCCGUGAUACCGCGAGACGGUUACGACGCGAUACGAUAUCGAGUUUCUUGUUAAGUCCGACCGAAAUGAGUUACGUCGCGAAUGUACAGGAUAUGGGAUUUAUUUAUGCGGGGUCUCCGCUCCGAGUCGUCCGCACUUUGCGGAGCUCGAUCGAGAUGUUUCGAUCAAAUCAAAGUUUCGUUUGAUACAUGCAACGCCGGAACAUCCGAGCCUCCCCCUUUGGCUUCGACUCACAAAUUUGUACCGCUCGCAAACUUGUUGAGCGCGAACGAGCGAAUGCAGCAAACGCAGCAGAAGUUAUUACUAUUUGUUCAGGAUCCGUUACAACUGUGACCGCCACUAAAGAGAAUACGAAGGAUAGGUAUCUCGUUUCGGCUGUUCCUGCGGCUGACUAAAGUUGUUCGCGUUCAUAGACGUCCUGCGUUAUGAGUCUCGAUAUCGCAUAAAUAAUUCAAGGCUUCGAUCGGAUGAAAUACCGAUUACGAUGUCGCAAUGCUAACUCAAAAUUUAGGUAUUCCUGUUGCUACACCUUCGCAAGGUCUCGAUAUCCGUUCGUCUAUGCGGAAGCGUGUGUCCUCCGAUUAGCUCGAAUAAACGGUAGUCUAUUGCGUAAAUAGGACGAAUUAAUUUGGAUAUAUUUACGCAAUACCUUCUCGCGCUCAUUUUUUGUUCCGUCAGAGAGAUACGAUCCAUUUGAAAAAUGAUGGAACGUUCGGGCGAACGGCAGUUCACGCUAUUCCGUUUGUUCGUUUAUUUCGGACGCGAACCGUUUUUACCACAAAAAAAAGGUAUCUUUCCCAGGACUACUUCAAAGAAAGACGGAUGCCCGGACGAGCGACGUUAGGCCAUUUGCCUACGUACCGGCAAAACCGGCGCCAGCACCGACUCUUCUGCCAAAAAUAAUGGAACUUUCAUUUAUUUACGUUAUUACCAUCGAAAAAAACCGAUGCCGCCCCCGGUUUUGUCGGUCAUGUGCAACCGGCGUUACAAUUUAAACGGGAUCUCGUGCGCGGUGGUUCGAUGCACGAAAAUAAUUAGGGUCAGGCGGUUAUGCAAUGGACGCGCUGGAAAAAAAUAGAGGACGCGGCAGCCAGGGGCCCAAUCCAGCGACCCAAGCUCGUUAAAGAGGUCUCGGAGAUAUUUUUAUUUUACUGUCCAUCUUUUCCUGUUUUCGGGCGGUCCUCACUGGGAGUCGACAUCCGGCGCGUGGACCAAUCGUCAAUUCGCAACGGAGAGUCUAGGGACUUUGAACGCUUCUCGUCGAAGGGGGAAAACGCGAACGAGGAAAGUUCGAUCGGGGGCAGUUCGGCGUGUGAGAAGAGCGUCGAGAUUCUUGGAAUGCCUCGAAAGUAUCUCCGGCCCGAAGCGACUCGCUCCAUUGUGUUCUGGUUUCCGAGAGUAAAACCAUUUGCCCGCUCACCAGCACCAACUUUUCUAUCAGAAAUAAUAGGGAGAAGGUGAAAGGAAGCGCUUUAUGGCCGGCAAUUGAACAGAAAUCUGGAAAAGACCGGUUCGAUCCCGCCUAUGCCGAUGCUAUAUUGGGAGAAAAGGAUGGCGACGAGCGAACGGAGCAGACGCGCUCGAUGUGUUCGCAAAACGAUGGGACUAUUGAUCCCACGAGCGAACGCACGGCGGUACCCGUUCGUCGAUUGAGCGGUCUUCGCUUCCGGAAUCAAUCCGACUCGCGUUUCGUCCUCCCUCUUUAUAUUUUAUAUGUGGGCUUUUUUCAAAAUGAAACACUGCCCCAAAGAAGCGGGGGCCCGGUGGGAAUACUUUUAAGCCGCUUCGUCGAAUUCCCGCGAGAAUCCUCGAGGCACGAAACAGAGGCUCGAGCGUUAUGUCGAUUACCCACGGUUAUUACUAAAAGUACCGCCACCGAAUGCGAGGAGCGACCACUGAAUUAAUUGCGUCGUCGAGUAUACGAUAACUACCCAGAUAGACAAAGUGAUGCAAAAAUUUGCAUCAAAUUUGCCUCAUAGAAUAUCAUGAAACGAGUCACGAGGGUGUUGCUUAUGAGGAGCAAAUGGUCUGCAAACUGUUUGCAAACGAUUUUCCUCAUCAAAUGAUAAUCGUGAAUUUCUAUCUGGGUAUCUUUAGAGAUUAAGCUUAUCAUUUAGUGUAUCAACGCGAAGCGAGCAUUAAUACCGGUGUACUUUGGGGUCUGGGGUAUAAUAUCCUAAUGUGCCAUCACCAACACGCGAUGAUAUAAUCCGCCUUUAAGCGAACAAUGCGACACGGUCGAGAUAGAUUUCGGUCGGUCUCGAAUCUUUGGGAACGUUUCGAGGAGGAACGCCAGUUCCUCCUCGAGAAACUUAAAACGGCCCCUCCUCGACAUUAUUUGUUUAUAAAAAUUCCGUAGCCCGCGGCGUCCCUAGUUUCCAUUCACGGCAAAGUCUCGUUAGAGCUCCAAUGUGAUACGGAAUAAUGGCGGGCAGCGCUUUUCUCGCGAUGCCCUCCUUUUCUCCCUUUAUCGGCCGUUGGGCGCGAAACUAGGUUAUUCCGUCUGCGCGUGCAUCAAAUUACCAGGGGAAUGAUAAGCAACCGUUUCAAGGCUGAGGAACCUUUUUGGGCCGCGUGGUUCCUCCUUUGUGACGUAACGUUAAGAGGCGUUGGAGCAUAAUUGAAGGCACUCCCAGGAGGGGACCUUACGCCCUCUUUUCGCUUCCCUCUCGCGUUUCUCGCCAUAUCGGUGGUAUUCCUGCCACGAGCCAUCCACGAAGGACGAAAGUAGACCCUCGUUCUUCCCUCGGGGAUGCUCGUUGCCAUGGCCACGAGGACACCGUGCCGCUUGUUGCUUGUUGCUUGUUGCGCCGCUCCUGGUUCCUCUCCUCCAACAACUUUUCAUGGGGACUUUGCUCAAGGCUUUCUCGAUAAUAAUUCUUUGUAAAAAGGUUUGCGAUUACGCAACGGUGUUUCCGGCCAACCUGUUCGGUGGACAAAGAUUCUGGUGGAUGAUCGAUUCUCUUCUUCAGGGUCGAGUUCAUUAGUAGUCUAAUUACGUAGAGUUACCGCAACUUCUUUAUCGUUCAUGAAACUUUUUUCCGAACUGGGUGUACCGAAUAGUUCCAUCCUUUACAACGUGACUAUAGAGACUACAAGGAAGGUCUUGACCGCAAUUAAAUUUCAUUUUUUUAUAACAAAUUUUAUUAAUAUCCAUAAACAAAUUUAAAAAUGCGAAAUCAGUUUUUUUUUUUAAUUUCGAUGGUUCGGCCUCAAUAUACCAUUGGCUUUUCCAUUCGACCGGACGCGAGGGCCAAGUCGCCCAUCCAAGCACCGACCGCGCCCAACGUUGCUUAACUUCUUUAAUCUUACGAAAACCGGUACUCGCAUC